ensembl:ncRNA ZK287.14 ncRNA
GGGGGUCAGAUCGGCGACAAAAACAAACAAAUUCGGAAACUGAGCACCCUCAUGCGCCGUGCUCCUCCGUUCAACAGGGAGGACCUCUCGCCGCCGCGAAACACUUUGUCAUCGUUGAGGAUUAUUAUAUUUAGAAAACACA